rnacentral:ncRNA from 1 species
CCGCCGCCACUACCGAUUGAAUUAUUUAGUGAGGUCUCCGGACGUGAUCACUGUAACGCAUUUUAUGUGCUGCGGAUGUUUCGCAAAAGUUGACCGAACCUGAUUAUUAAGAAGAAGUUAAAGUCGUA